rnacentral:rRNA from 1 species
GUAGGUGGCAAGCGUUGUCCGGAAUUAUUGGGCGUAAAGCGCGCGCAGGCGGUUCUUUAAGUCUGAUGUGAAAGCCCACGGCUCAACCGUGGAGGGUCAUUGGAAACUGGAGAACUUGAGUACAGAAGAGGAAAGCGGAAUUCCACGUGUAGCGGUGAAAUGCGUAGAGAUGUGGAGGAACACCAGUGGCGAAGGCGGCUUUCUGGUCUGUAACUGACGCUGAGGCGCGAAAGCGUGGGGAGCAAACAGGGAUUAGAUACCCUGGUAGUCCACGCCGUAAACGAUGAGUGCUAAGUGUUAGGGGGUUCCCCGCUCCUUAGUGCUGCAGCUAACGCAUUAAGCACUCCGCCCUGGGAGUACGGCCGCAAGGCUG